rnacentral:sRNA from 1 species
CUUUUGCAUGAGGGAUAGAAGUGGAGCUCUUUUUUAUUGGGCUUUUUUUGCCCAAUAAAAAAAGCGGGAACGGAUAGCCCGACCGCCU